AUUGAACGCUGGCGGCAUGCCUUACACAUGCAAGUCGAACGGUAGAAGGAGCAAUCCUUCGAGAGUGGCGAACGGGUGAGUAAUGCAUCGGAACGUGCCCAAUUGUGGGGGAUAACUACUCGAAAGAGUGGCUAAUACCGCAUACGACCUGAGGGUGAAAGCGGGGGACUCGCAAGAGCCUCGCGCAGUUGGAGCGGCCGAUGUCAGAUUAGCUAGUUGGUGGGGUAAAAGCUCACCAAGGCGACGAUCUGUAGCUGGUCUGAGAGGACGACCAGCCACACUGGGACUGAGACACGGCCCAGACUCCUACGGGAGGCAG
rnacentral:rRNA from 1 species